rnacentral:rRNA from 1 species
AACGAACGCUGGCGGCAGGCUUAACACAUGCAAGUCGAACGGAUCCUUCGGGAUUAGUGGCAGACGGGUGAGUAACGCGUGGGAACGUACCCUUUGCUACGGAAUAACUCAGGGAAACUUGAGCUAAUACCGUAUGUGCCCUACGGGGGAAAGAUUUAUCGGCAAAGGAUCGGCCCGCGUUGGAUUAGCUAGUUGGUGGGGUAAUGGCCUACCAAGGCGACGAUCCAUAGCUGGUCUGAGAGGAUGAUCAGCCACACUGGGACUGAGACACGGCCCAGACUCCUACGGGAGGCAGCAGUGGGGAAUAUUGGACAAUGGGCGCAAGCCUGAUCCAGCCAUGCCGCGUGAGUGAUGAAGGUCUUAGGAUUGUAAAGCUCUUUCACCGGUGAGGAUAAUGACGGUAGCCGGAGAAGAAGCCCCGGCUAACUUCGUG